UCAGACAGGCCCUUAGGCACACACCUAACAUAACCAAGGAGUGGCUUUGGAACAACUCUGUGACAGUUCUUGAAUGGCCCAGCCAGAGCCCUGACUUAGACCCAAUUGAGCAUCUCUGGAGAGAC